UACGUAGGUGGCAAGCGUUGUCCGGAAUUAUUGGGCGUAAAGCGCGCGCAGGCGGUCCUUUAAGUCUGAUGUGAAAGCCCACGGCUCAACCGUGGAGGGUCAUUGGAAACUGGGGGACUUGAGUGCAGGAGAGAAGAGUGGAAUUCCACGUGUAGCGGUGAAAUGCGUAAAGAUGUGGAGGAACACCAGUGGCGAAGGCGACUCUUUGGUCUGUAACUGACGCUGAGGCGCGAAAGCGUGGGGAGCAAACAGG
rnacentral:rRNA from 1 species